AAAAAGGAAAAAUAAACAAAAAGGCAUCCAGACUAGAAAGGAAUAAAUAAAACUAUCCUAAAAUUUACUUUCUCUAAUUUCAUAAGCUUAUCAUUCUGGCAUGAUGGAAUUUGGAAAAGUCCCACUCAUUUACUGUGUACUAGGUAAUGCAUCCUGUCCCUAUGUCUACCAUCCAUCUUUUUAACACCAGAAGGGGGACUGCUUGGGACUGUACACAGUGAAGGACUUUCAUUCUGAUGUCAUAGUCUAGGGUUCUGUUCAACCUUCUCUCUCCUCUCUUCUCUCUUCUGUUCUCUUUUCCUCCUCUUCCUCCUGCUCCUUUUCUCUCUCUCCACCCCCCUCCAACCCUUCCUCCAUCACCACCACUCUCUCUUCCCAGGAGACCAGAUAGUUAAGGAGGAACACUGCAGAGUUAUCAGUGGCUGGCACAGACAGUCAAGCAUCCAAGACCCAGGUCCUUGUCAUUUUUUGUUCAAUAUUCCCCUUCCCAAGUACUGUGAUCACCCCACAGAGAAUAAAUAUCCUUACACAAAAUUCAGUUCUAGGUGUCAAGAUCGAUGACGCUAUAUACACACAGGCAAAAAGAAUAUAAAAAGUUUCAUUGCUUACAUAGUGAGACUCUCUGGGAAGACCAAGAUAGCCUUCUAAAAGGCCAAAAUGAUUGAAAGAGAAAAAUGAAGGACAAGGACAAGCGGGUUGGGGUUUUAUGGUGAUUAUGAGAUGGGACUGGGGUGAGGGCCCAGGCUUGAGGGGUUUUCUCAUAAGCUUGUCCAGAUAUGGGACAGAAAGAGAAAGGCAAGCAGGCUUUAAGAAGUUGUCAGCAGUCAAGUAUCAGAAAUAAAGUCAGGCUCUUUACUGCGAUGGCACUAUCCAUAACUCUUCAAAGGGUUGCCUCUCAACAUUCUUCUCCAGGGUGAGGAGCAUCCACCAAGCCCUUAUCCAGUAACAUCUGUCUUUGGGAAGAACAGGUUGUUGGGUUGGGAGUAUCACUCCCACACAAGGAGCAGCCGUAUGUGUGGAUGUGACAGGACCUAAUGAGCUUGCUGAGAAUAUUUAAAUUGCUAAACAGGAUAGCAUAUUUACUACCGUGUUUAACCCUAAGCAUUUGCAGUAAAAAUCAAAGUGAUGCCAUUAUGUGAUCCCCUAGUGGCAUGUACUUGGAAGCUCUUCUUUUUUAGCCAAAAUUGAUUUGGGGGUUGUAUAUAAUUCUCCCUUUCAAACAGCAAUUGAAAAUCUGAAUGGUGGGGAAUUAAGCCGAAAAAUAUGGACAAGCUUAAAGCUAGAGCAGGAAAGAAUUUGCACAACUACCCCUGGGAGGUGGUUAUGACAGCCUUAUCCCUCUCUACUGUCCUAUUGCAGGGACCAUCCACAGCAUGAUAUUGAGGAAAACACCUUGGCUUUGAAGCCAACUGACUCAAAAUUUAUCCCUGGCUGAAUCAUUUAACAUGUGACCUUAGGAAAUUAAUUUUUUUACGACCUCACUUUCCCCUUCUGUACAUUAGGGAUAAUAAUACCUACCACAAUAAGAUUGUUAUAAGGUAAAAAGGAGACCACAAUUCAUAUAAGUUUCCAGCAUAAUGUAUGCCACAUAUCCAAUAGAUACUCAUUAGUUAGUAGUUUCUACCACUAUUACCACCACCAUUAUCUGUUACCUACCACCGUCAGGACUACUACCAGUAUGAAAGAAUUGUGAGUUUUAACAAUUUUUAUCUCUCCAUUCUUCUGUCCAUGGUACAUAAAUUGCUCUCCAAAAUGACCAAUUAAAGGAUCAUGUCUGUACUUUAAAACCUCCAGGGAACUUAUCACCUUCUUGGCAUACUUCAUCUUCUUGACAUUCAAAAAGUUCCUCCUUAAACUGAACUAAAAUCUAGCUUGCCAGAGCACAGCAUCUGUCAACAGGAAAGUAUUCUGGGGGAUAUUAGAAGUUGAGUAGGAAAUAAAAUGAAGACUCUGUUUUCUAUUUAUGCCAAUAUUUCAGAUGAGAUAUCUUAAGGAACCAUCAGCUACAAAGAAACCAAGAAGACUGUAUGAAAUAUUUCUAAAUAUCUUUUUAAAUGUAUAAUGCAUAGCAGAAGUGACAUGACAAUACAAAAAAAAAAAAAAAAUCCUCAUAAGCCACAAAGGAGACAAAAACACCAACUCAGAGAGGUGAGUGUUAAGAAGCCACCUGCCCUGAGGAUGGCUGGUUAUCCCAGCUACCUGGAGCUUCCUUUAUAAUGAAGCUUCCCUGGAGAAAGACCUCGGCCUGCAUAAAGCGUGAGGGUAAAUCUGAGACCCUUGGAUUAAUUGGAGCCCCUGACAAACUGAUCCCCUUCUUGAAAAGUUAAACCAGGGAUCCCUGGGUGGCGCAGCGGUUUAGUGCCUGCCUUUGGCCCAGGGCGCGAUCCUGGAGACCCGGGAUCGAAUCCCACGUCAGGCUCCCGGUGCAUGGAGCCUGCUUCUCCCUCUGCCUGUGUCUCUGCCUGUGUCUCUGCCUCUCUCUGUGUGACUAUCAUAAAUAAAUAAAAAUUAAAAAAAAAAAGAAAAGUUAAACCAGGAAAAAUAACCCCGCAAAGGGAGACAAAAGGAAGUUUGCCUGUCAGAGUCUUGAGACUGACUAAAGAAAGAAAUUCUUUAAAAAAGGUCUCCCUUGACACACCAACUCAUGGAGAAUAAGUGGAAUUCACUCUAUCUGAAAAGUCUUUUAAAAAUCCAAAAAUUUAAAGAGGUCUCUGAUCAAUCAUAAUCCCAUAUUGAGUAUACCAAAUGUAAAUUCUCUCCAGAGUAAUAUGUAUUAAACCUAGGCUCAGAG
rnacentral:lncRNA from 1 species